rnacentral:misc_RNA from 1 species
AAAAUAAAAAAAAAAAGAAAAAGAAAAAAGGUGAUGUGAAGUGUGGAUGAGCUGAGGGAAAGUGAGUGAUUUAGGGUUUGGUGGUAUUAAAUGAGGCAAUGUAUAUGUAUAGAUGUAUGUAUAGAAGUACGAGGCAGUAAUGGAUAGGGUUUUGUUAGGGAAAGAAAAUUUUUGAUUUCGAGGGAAGAAAAUGACUGCAGCCGAACAGUCAAGGCCAGGGCCUGUGGAGAGAGACAUUGAGUUGGUAAAUAAUUUGUCUAUUUUAUUUUUAUUGUUUGGAUAUAUAUGAUGAUUUAAGUUUACCCUAUAUAGGAGGGAGGGUGUGAGUGAGUGAGUGAGUGUUUGUAUGUGUGUAUUUGGGUGCUCUAUACAUAUGUGUACGUUAAUAUAGCAUUAAAAUGAUAAAAGAGAAAAUGAUUUUGGUUCUUUAUUUGAUUUGCUACUUAAGUGAGAUUUUUGCCGGUUAAAUUGCAAUAUGGUAAUUUUGUUCUGCAAGUCAUGUAACUCUGAUCGUACCCACUAUUAUUUAAGCUACAAAGUAUAUUAGCAGGAAAUAACUCGAUGUGGUCAAAUAGUAUAUAUAUAUUUUUAAUUA